rnacentral:rRNA from 1 species
UACAGGGGGGGCAAGCGUUGUUCGGAAUUACUGGGCGUAAAGGGCUCGUAGGUGGCCAACUAAGUCAGACGUGAAAUCCCUCAGCUUAACUGGGGAACUGCGUCUGAUACUGGAUGGCUUGAGUUUGGGAGAGGGAUGCGGAAUUCCAGGUGUAGCGGUGAAAUGCGUAGAGAUUGGAAAGAACACCAAUGGCGAAAGCACUUUACUGGGCUAUUACUGACACUGAGAGACGAAAGCUAGGGUAGCAAAUGGG